rnacentral:rRNA from 1 species
GAUAAACGCUGGCGGCGUGCCUAAUACAUGCAAGUCGAGCGAACCGACGAGGUGCUUGCACCUUUGACGUUAGCGGCGAACGGGUGAGCAACACGUAAGGAAUCUACCUAUAAGUGGGGGAUAACAUCCGGAAACGGGUGCUAAUACCGCAUAAUAACCGACACCACAUGGUGUAAGUUUGAAAGAUGGCUCUGCUGUCACUUAUAGAUGACCUUGCGGUGCAUUAGCUAGUUGGUAAGGUAACGGCUUACCAAGGCAAUGAUGCAUAGCCGAGUUGAGAGACUGAUCGGCCACAUUGGGACUGAGACACGGCCCAA